CCCUGUGAAUGACCAUUGCACUCUACUAGGUAGAUGGAAGGAUACCGAAGACUUUAGACAUUUUGUUGCUGAGCUCAUCCAAAAGACCAAUCAGUAUAUGCCAUUACCUGUAGAUCUGGAAUUCUUUUUUGAACUUUGUAAAACAACAUAGUUUUCUUCAGUUAUUCGACCCAGCAACCUUCAAUAAUGCUGAAGAAAACUGAACCAAAGAAAACUGAAGAAAACUAUCAACAUUAUUGAAGGUUGCUGGGUGGAACAGCUGAAGAAAACUGUGUUGUUUUACGACAUUUAAAUGACCUGAUCUCAUGCUAGUGGUAGACAUUCCAGAUAAAAGAAUUCCAAGUCUACAGGUAAUGGUAUAUACUCUGAUUUAUAAUGUUCAAAGUCUUAGGUAUCCUUCCAUCUACCUAGUGCAAUGGUCAUUCACGGGUUGGUAAGGGAGAUACUGUCAUAUUAAGCAAUAUGAUUUUUAAGUUUGACGAGGGAAUUAAUUACUAGAACUAUGAGAAAACAAAUUGGCCGCCAUAUUAUUGUUGAGCAGUAGUUCACUAAAGAGGAUUUCACUUUCAUGGCUGAAACCUCUGCUUUGUAGAAUCUGCAUUUAAUUUAUGGAGUAGUAGACGAUGGUGGCUAUGCACUGUAAAUCACUAAUAUAUGUGUGUGCUAUGUAAAAAUUCAGUACAUAAUUAUAUUAUACUAUAUGUUGAGCAGUAGUUCACUAAAGAGGAUUUCACUUUCAUGGCUGAAACCUCUGCUUUGUAGAAUCUGCAUUUAAUUUAUAUAGUAGACGAUGGCGGCUAUGCACUGUAAAUCACUAAUAUAUGUGUAUGCUAUGUAAAAAUUCAGUACAUAAUUAUAUUAUGCUAUAUCAAACUAGAUGAAAUGAAAUAUCAAAAUAAAUAGAGGAUUGCGCAAGAUUCUCUCCACAGCCAACUAUUUGGGUCUUCAAACCUGUUAUAGGUAGGCACUCUGUUUGAUCUCCUUCAUCUAGUAUUGUGCACCCUGUAUGAAGCAGCAUCUUGUAUCCAACGGAAAUUAUUUUAGAAAAUUUGAGUUUAAGAUGUUCCUUAUUUGUCAAGAUUAAUUGUUUAUGUAUUCUCAUGUGAAAUCUCUAGUUGUGUAAAUGUACAACUUUUUUCCUUUUACCCAAAUAUAUCCAGAAAGUAGCGAGUAGUUGGCCCUUCUUCAUAAUCUGGUUUUUGCAUUAUCGGUUAUGAUUUUGUACAUCUUAUGAGCAUUACUUGUGCUGCGUCGUUCUUAGCCUUGAUGAAUACAUGAAAGGAUUAUGUAUCUUACACGACCAUCAGGCUAUUUUCACAUCUUCUUACUAGACCAAAACCAACAUAUUUAGCAUACUUCCUAUAAUUUAAGGAAACUUCAUACUCGAACUAUAUGUCAUUCACUACUUACAUUCUUCAAUUUUUUCAUCCCUAUGAUCAAACUCUUCCUCUGAACUUAACGUCAUUGAUUCUUUAUAUUUUUCAACUUUUUCAUCAACAUCUAUCAAAAAAAGAUACAAAAUUAAGUGUUAAGUUAAAGCAAAAUUAUAACGCAAACAAAAGUGAAAAAGUCUAAUCAAUUUGAGGAUUAUCUUGGUGGGUUAAAGCAUUGUCUUUUGAAAUCUGUGUAUAUACAGAUUCAACUUCGCCUUCAUUAUCUAACUAUGUGCUUGAGAGAGUCCAUUUAAGAGAAGAAAAGGCGAACACAAAGAGUAACCGAAAAGUGUCAUUGAUUUUGUACAAGCUUUUUUUCGGAAUGGUUUUCUUUUAAAAGAAUUUAACCACUCCUACAUUGUCCUAAUUUCUAAAGUGGAUAACCCUUCUAGGAUUAAUCAAUUUAGGCUUAUUAGCCUUGGCAAACUUUAAUUACAAAAGCAUUUCAAAAAAUUUGGUCAAUUGCCUUAAGUCUCACUUGGAUAAAUUUGUCUACCCGAAUCAAUCCGUUUUCAUCAAAGGCAGAUCAAUUCAUGACAAUUCUAUUCUUGCCUAUGAUAUCUUCCAUACCAUGAAAAACAAAUAGGGCAAUGGUGGUCUCAUGGCCAUCAAACUGAACAUGAAAAAGGCUUUUGACUGUAUGGAAUUAAAAUUUCUUUCAAAAAAUUUCUUGGCCUUAGGCUUUAGCCAUUCCUAGAUCCAUCUCAUUGAGCAGUGUGUCUCCAUUAUCUCCUUCUCUGUUUUGUUGGAUGGCAUGGCAAACUCUCUCCCUCUCGUAGCCUAAGGCAAGGAAACCCCUCUUUCCUUUUUUUUUUCAUCCUAGGCACAGAGGUUCUUUUAAGGUUAAUCAGCAAAGAGGAGGCUCUUGGCAACCUUCAUGGGAUUAAAAUCUCCCGCCAAAGUCCCCCUCUUUCUCACCUUCUCUUUGCUGAUGAUCUAAUAAUUUUCGCUAAGGCAAAUUUCUCUGAAGCUUCCUAUGUCCUUAGUUGCCUUAAUAGAUACUCUGUCUGGUCCGGCCAAAAGGUGAAUCUUUCCAAAUCCUCCAUCUUUCUUAUAAGAACUGCACUCCUACCACUACCUCCUCUAUUCUACAAAUCCUCAACCUCCGCCAGAUUCCCCCUAAAAAGCUAUGUAUUUUGGUCUUCCUCUCUUUUUCCAUAGAAAUAAAAGCUUAGCUUUUGUUAAUCUUAAACAGAAAAUCCUAGCUAAAAUCUUUGGUUGGAAGUCCAAACUCCUAUUCCAAGCAGCUCGUACCACUCUCAUUAAAUCCAUAGCUAAUGCCAUUCCUUCAUAUUCUAUCUCUUUUCCUUCUUCCUAAAUCUUUUUGUGAAAGCAUAGAACCUUUUCUUAGAAAAUUUUGGUGGGGUGUCCCCCUUGAAAAAAAGCACAACCUCAUGCUUCUAAGUUGGAAGAAAAUUUGCUCCCCAAAAUCUUGGGGUGGUCUGGGCAUUAGACCUCUUAAGUCCCAAAACAGGUCCCUCCUUGCUAAAUUGGCUUGGAAUCUUCUGUCUAAUAAAAACUUCUUAUGGGUUUCUGCCCUAAAAUCCAAAUACCUCUUCAAUUCUGACCUCUUAAACUCCUCUACCUCCCCCACUGCCUCUUGGCUCUAGAAAUUGAUCAUUAAGUGUAGGGAUCUUGUUGCUAAAGGUGUGUCGGUCUGUCUCUACGGGCUCUUCCAUUGAUGUUUGGAAUUCCCCAUGGAUCCCCUCCAUUUUAGGUUUUAAACCCACCCCAAAUCCCCUAAUCUUUUAUCUUCCCAACUUGACAGUGGCCGAUCUCAUCUGCCCCCUCCAGCAUUGCUGGUACAUCCCCAUCCUUAAUGCCCUUUUUGAUCCUCACACUAUCUCAAAAAUUCUUGACAUUCACCUCUCUUGACAAGAUGAUCUGGACCCCCUCCCCCAUAGGUGCUUUUACUGUUAAAUCAGCCCAUGAAAUAGACCCC
rnacentral:precursor_RNA from 1 species